rnacentral:rRNA from 1 species
UACGGAGGGCGCAAGCGUUGUUCGGAAUUACUGGGCGUAAAGCGCGUGUAGGCGGCUUGGUAAGUCGGAUGUGAAAGCCCGGGGCCCAACCCCGGAACUGCAUCCGAUACUGCCUCGCUCGAGUCUCGGAGAGGAUGGCGGAAUUUCCGGUGUAGAGGUGAAAUUCGUAGAUAUCGGAAGGAACACCAGUGGCGAAGGCGGCCAUCUGGACGAUGACUGACGCUGAGACGCGAAAGCGUGGGGAGCAAAC